UUAAGCGACUAAGCGUACACGGUGGAUGCCUUGGCAGUCAGAGGCGAUGAAGGACGUGCUAAUCUGCGAUAAGCGUCGGUAAGGUGAUAUGAACCGUUAUAACCGGCGAUUUCCGAAUGGGGAAACCCAGUGUGAUUCGUCACACUAUCAUUAACUGAAUCCAUAGGUUAAUGAGGCGAACCGGGGGAACUGAAACAUCUAAGUACCCCGAGGAAAAGAAAUCAACCGAGAUUCCCCCAGUAGCGGCGAGCGAACGGGGAGGAGCCCAGAGCCUGAAUCAGUGUGUGUGUUAGUGGAAGCGUCUGGAAAGGCGCGCGAUACAGGGUGACAGCCCCGUACACAAAAAUGCACAUACUGUGAGCUCGAUGAGUAGGGCGGGACACGUGGUAUCCUGUCUGAAUAUGGGGGGACCAUCCUCCAAGGCUAAAUACUCCUGACUGACCGAUAGUGAACCAGUACCGUGAGGGAAAGGCGAAAAGAACCCCGGCGAGGGGAGUGAAAAAGAACCUGAAACCGUGUACGUACAAGCAGUGGGAGCACAGAGCAAUCUGUGUGACUGCGUACCUUUUGUAUAAUGGGUCAGCGACUUAUAUUCUGUAGCAAGGUUAACCGAAUAGGGGAGCCGAAGGGAAACCGAGUCUUAACCGGGCGUUAAGUUGCAGGGUAUAGACCCGAAACCCGGUGAUCUAGCCAUGGGCAGGUUGAAGGUUGGGUAACACUAACUGGAGGACCGAACCGACUAAUGUUGAAAAAUUAGCGGAUGACUUGUGGCUGGGGGUGAAAGGCCAAUCAAACCGGGAGAUAGCUGGUUCUCCCCGAAAGCUAUUUAGGUAGCGCCUCGUGAAUUCAUCUCCGGGGGUAGAGCACUGUUUCGGCAAGGGGGUCAUCCCGACUUACCAACCCGAUGCAAACUGCGAAUACCGGAGAAUGUUAUCACGGGAGACACACGGCGGGUGCUAACGUCCGUCGUGAAGAGGGAAACAACCCAGACCGCCAGCUAAGGUCCCAAAGUCAUGGUUAAGUGGGAAACGAUGUGGGAAGGCCCAGACAGCCAGGAUGUUGGCUUAGAAGCAGCCAUCAUUUAAAGAAAGCGUAAUAGCUCACUGGUCGAGUCGGCCUGCGCGGAAGAUGUAACGGGGCUAAACCAUGCACCGAAGCUGCGGCAGCGACACUGUGUGUUGUUGGGUAGGGGAGCGUUCUGUAAGCCUGUGAAGGUGUGCUGUGAGGCAUGCUGGAGGUAUCAGAAGUGCGAAUGCUGACAUAAGUAACGAUAAAGCGGGUGAAAAGCCCGCUCGCCGGAAGACCAAGGGUUCCUGUCCAACGUUAAUCGGGGCAGGGUGAGUCGACCCCUAAGGCGAGGCCGAAAGGCGUAGUCGAUGGGAAACAGGUUAAUAUUCCUGUACUUGGUGUUACUGCGAAGGGGGGACGGAGAAGGCUAUGUUGGCCGGGCGACGGUUGUCCCGGUUUAAGCGUGUAGGCUGGUUUUCCAGGCAAAUCCGGAAAAUCAAGGCUGAGGCGUGAUGACGAGGCACUACGGUGCUGAAGCAACAAAUGCCCUGCUUCCAGGAAAAGCCUCUAAGCAUCAGGUAACAUCAAAUCGUACCCCAAACCGACACAGGUGGUCAGGUAGAGAAUACCAAGGCGCUUGAGAGAACUCGGGUGAAGGAACUAGGCAAAAUGGUGCCGUAACUUCGGGAGAAGGCACGCUGAUAUGUAGGUGAAGUCCCUCGCGGAUGGAGCUGAAAUCAGUCGAAGAUACCAGCUGGCUGCAACUGUUUAUUAAAAACACAGCACUGUGCAAACACGAAAGUGGACGUAUACGGUGUGACGCCUGCCCGGUGCCGGAAGGUUAAUUGAUGGGGUCAGCGCAAGCGAAGCUCUUGAUCGAAGCCCCGGUAAACGGCGGCCGUAACUAUAACGGUCCUAAGGUAGCGAAAUUCCUUGUCGGGUAAGUUCCGACCUGCACGAAUGGCGUAAUGAUGGCCAGGCUGUCUCCACCCGAGACUCAGUGAAAUUGAACUCGCUGUGAAGAUGCAGUGUACCCGCGGCAAGACGGAAAGACCCCGUGAACCUUUACUAUAGCUUGACACUGAACAUUGAGCCUUGAUGUGUAGGAUAGGUGGGAGGCUUUGAAGUGUGGACGCCAGUCUGCAUGGAGCCGACCUUGAAAUACCACCCUUUAAUGUUUGAUGUUCUAACGUGGACCCGUGAUCCGGGUUGCGGACAGUGUCUGGUGGGUAGUUUGACUGGGGCGGUCUCCUCCUAAAGAGUAACGGAGGAGCACGAAGGUUGGCUAAUCCUGGUCGGACAUCAGGAGGUUAGUGCAAUGGCAUAAGCCAGCUUGACUGCGAGCGUGACGGCGCGAGCAGGUGCGAAAGCAGGUCAUAGUGAUCCGGUGGUUCUGAAUGGAAGGGCCAUCGCUCAACGGAUAAAAGGUACUCCGGGGAUAACAGGCUGAUACCGCCCAAGAGUUCAUAUCGACGGCGGUGUUUGGCACCUCGAUGUCGGCUCAUCACAUCCUGGGGCUGAAGUAGGUCCCAAGGGUAUGGCUGUUCGCCAUUUAAAGUGGUACGCGAGCUGGGUUUAGAACGUCGUGAGACAGUUCGGUCCCUAUCUGCCGUGGGCGCUGGAGAACUGAGGGGGGCUGCUCCUAGUACGAGAGGACCGGAGUGGACGCAUCACUGGUGUUCGGGUUGUCAUGCCAAUGGCACUGCCCGGUAGCUAAAUGCGGAAGAGAUAAGUGCUGAAAGCAUCUAAGCACGAAACUUGCCCCGAGAUGAGUUCUCCCUGACCCUUUAAGGGUCCUGAAGGAACGUUGAAGACGACGACGUUGAUAGGCCGGGUGUGUAAGCGCAGCGAUGCGUUGAGCUAACCGGUACUAAUGAACCGUGAGGCUUAACCU
rnacentral:rRNA from 1 species